rnacentral:rRNA from 1 species
GACGAACGCUGGCGGCGUGCUUAACACAUGCAAGUCGAACGGAAAGGCCUCUUUCGGGGGGUACUCGAGUGGCGAACGGGUGAGUAACACGUGAGUAACCUGCCCUUGACUUUGGGAUAACUUCAGGAAACUGGGGCUAAUACCGGAUAGGAGCUCCUGCUGCAUGGUGGGGGUUGGAAAGUUUCGGCGGUUGGGGAUGGACUCGCGGCUUAUCAGCUUGUUGGUGGGGUAGUGGCUUACCAAGGCUUUGACGGGUAGCCGGCCUGAGAGGGUGACCGGCCACAUUGGGACUGAGAUACGGCCCAGACUCCUACGGGAGGCAGCAGUGGGGAAUAUUGCACAAUGGGUGGAAGCCUGAUGCAGCAACGCCGUGUGCGGGAUGACGGCCUUCGGGUUGUAAACCGCUUUCGCUCAUGACGAAGCUUUGUGUGACGGUAGUGGGUAAAGAAGCACCGGGUAACUACGUG